rnacentral:rRNA from 1 species
ACGCUGGCGGCAGGCCUAACACAUGCAAGUCGAGCGCGCCUUCGGGCGAGCGGCGGACGGGUUAGUAACGCGUGGGAACGUGCCCAGAUCUACGGAAUAGCCACUGGAAACGGUGAGUAAUACCGUAUACGCCCCUUGGGGGAAAGAUUUAUCGGAUUUGGAUCGGCCCGCGUUAGAUUAGGUAGUUGGUGGGGUAAUGGCCUACCAAGCCUACGAUCUAUAGCUGGUUUUAGAGGAUGAUCAGCAACACUGGGACUGAGACACGGCCCAGACUCCUACGGGAGGCAGCAGUGGGGAAUCUUGGACAAUGGGGGCAACCCUGAUCCAGCCAUGCCGCGUGAGUGAAGAAGGCCCUAGGGUCGUAAAACUCUUUCGCCUGUGAUGAUAAUGACAGUAGCAGGUAAAGAAACCCCGGCUAACUCCGUGCCAGCAGCCGCGGUAAUACGGAGGGGGUUAGCGUUGUUCGGAAUUACUGGGCGUAAAGCGCACGUAGGCGGAUUAGAAAGUUAGAGGUGAAAUCCCGGGGCUCAACCCCGGAACUGCCUUUAAAACUACUAGUCUAGAGUUCGAGAGAGGUGAGUGGAAUUCCGAGUGUAGAGGUGAAAUUCGUAGAUAUUCGGAGGAACACCAGUGGCGAAGGCGGCUCACUGGCUCGAUACUGACGCUGAGGUGCGAAAGUGUGGGGAGCAAACAGGAUUAGAUACCCUGGUAGUCCACACCGUAAACGAUGAAUGCCAGUCGUCGGGUAGUAUACUAUUCGGUGACACACCUAACGGAUUAAGCAUUCCGCCUGGGGAGUACGGUC